GGUUAAGCGACUAAGCGUACACGGUGGAUGCCCUGGCAGUCAGAGGCGAUGAAGGACGUGCUAAUCUGCGAUAAGCGUCGGUAAGGUGAUAUGAACCGUUAUAACCGGCGAUUUCCGAAUGGGGAAACCCAGUGUGUUUCGACACACUAUCAUUAACUGAAUCCAUAGGUUAAUGAGGCGAACCGGGGGAACUGAAACAUCUAAGUACCCCGAGGAAAAGAAAUCAACCGAGAUUCCCCCAGUAGCGGCGAGCGAACGGGGAGCAGCCCAGAGCCUGAAUCAGUGUGUGUGUUAGUGGAAGCGUCUGGAAAGGCGCGCGAUACAGGGUGACAGCCCCGUACACAAAAAU
rnacentral:rRNA from 1 species